rnacentral:rRNA from 1 species
AGAGUUUGAUCAUGGCUCACAUUGAACGCUGGCGGCAUGCCUUACACAUGCAAGUCGAACGGUAACAGGGAGCUUGCUCCGCUGACGAGUGGCGAACGGGUGAGUAAUGUAUCGGAACGUACCUUUCAGUGGGGGAUAACGUAGCGAAAGUUACGCUAAUACCGCAUAUUCUGUGAGCAGGAAAACAGGGGAUCGCAAGACCUUGCGCUGAUUGAGCGGCCGAUAUCAGAUUAGCUAGUUGGUGAGGUAAAGGCUCACCAAGGCGACGAUCUGUAGCGGGUCUGAGAGGAUGAUCCGCCACACUGGAACUGAGACACGGUCCAGACUCCUACGGGAGGCAGCAGUGGGGAAUUUUGGACAAUGGGGGCAACCCUGAUCCAGCCAUGCCGCGUGAGUGAAGAAGGCCUUCGGGUUGUAAAGCUCUUUCGGCCGGGAAGAAAUCGCAUGGGUUAAUACCCUGUGCGGAUGACGGUACCGGCAUAAGAAGCACCGGCUAACUACGUGCCAGCAGCCGCGGUAAUACGUAGGGUGCGAGCGUUAAUCGGAAUUACUGGGCGUAAAGCGUGCGCAGGCGGUUUUGUAAGACAGGCGUGAAAUCCCCGGGCUCAACCUGGGAACUGCGCUUGUGACUGCAAGGCUAGAGUAUGGCAGAGGGGGGUGGAAUUCCACGUGUAGCAGUGAAAUGCGUAGAGAUGUGGAGGAACACCAAUGGCGAAGGCAGCCCCCUGGGCCAAUACUGACGCUCAUGCACGAAAGCGUGGGUAGCAAACAGGAUUAGAUACCCUGGUAGUCCACGCCCUAAACGAUGUCAACUAGGUGUUGGGUGGGUAAAACCAUUUAGUACCGGAGCUAACGCGUGAAGUUGACCGCCUGGGGAGUACGGCCGCAAGGUUAAAACUCAAAGGAAUUGACGGGGACC